AAUUAAACAAAAUGAUAAAAAUAUAUAAUAGAAAGAAACAGGAGAGGAGGGAGAGAGAUGAGAUCUGCUCUAGGUGUUUCUUGAAUUCCCAGAAAAUUUGAUUAAAGGUAGCGAGUGCGAGAGAUUUGGGGAGAGUGAGCGUGGGUCUUAGAGCGAGCGAGCGAGCGAGCGAGCGAGCGAGGAAGAACAGGAGGAGAGUGAGAUAUUCUUUUUUCACCUUUAGGGUUCAAUUUCAUUGCGUUACCUGCCCAAAUUCAUCAUGGAUCGGAAGCUUGUGGUUCUCGGCAUUCCAUGGGACAUCGAUACAGAAGGGCUAAGAGACUACAUGAGCAAAUUUGGAGAGUUGGAGGAUUGUAUUGUCAUGAAGGAGAGGUCAACUGGUCGGUCUCGUGGUUUUGGGUAUGUGACCUUUGCAACCGAUGAAGAUGCCAAGAAUGCGCUAUCUAAUGAGCACUUCCUUGGCAAUAGAAUGCUGGAAGUUAAAGUUGCCACACCAAAGGAAGAGAUGAGAGCACCUCCAAAGAGAGUUACGAGGAUAUUUGUAGCAAGGAUUUCACAAUCUGUGACUGAGGCUGCCUUCCGCAGUCAUUUUGAGAAAUAUGGAGAAAUAACAGAUCUUUACAUGCCGAAGGACCAGGGCUCAAAAAUCCAUCGUGGAAUAGGUUUCAUCACUUUUGCAAGUUCAGACUCUGUAGAGAAUUUGAUGGCUGAAACUCAUGAAUUAGAAGGUUCUGCAGUGGUUGUUGACAGAGCGACCCCCAAGGACGAUGAUUUCAGGCCCAUAGGGAAAAUGCCGCGAGGGGGUCGUGGUGGUGGUGGUGGUGGUGGUGGAUAUGGUGCAUACAAUGCUUAUAUUUCUGCAGCAACAAGAUAUGCAGCACUUGGUGCUCCUACCUUAUACGACCAUCCAGUCUCAGUUUAUGGUGGGAGAAGGGAAUUUCGAGGGAUGGGAAAAAAGAUUUUUAUUGGUAGGCUCCCACAAGAAGCAUCUGCUGAUGAUCUCCGCCAAUACUUUGGUAGAUUUGGCCGUAUAUUGGAUGUCUAUGUUCCCAAGGAUCCUAAAAGAUCUGGUCAUCGAGGUUUUGGUUUUGUAACUUUUGCUGAAGAUGGUGUAGCAGAUCGUGUAUCUCGAAGAUCUCACGAGAUUUGUGGACAACAGGUAUUCUACUGCAUGUCACUUUCCUUACUAGAAGGGCAUUGCCAGCGACUGUUCUUUCUGCCUUUUGCGAGUUGCUAUCGAUUCAGCCACUCCUCUUGAUGAUGCUGGAGCAGCUGGAGCAAGUGGAACUUUUGUGAUGAAUAGCGCGGCAGAAUCUUUUGGGAGCUAUGGUGGACCUAUGAGGACUUAUGGAAGGAUGUAUGGAAGCCUGGACUUUGAUGAUUGGGGUUAUGGAGUUGGUGGUGGAAGACCAUCUAGAGCAGACUGGAGGUAUCGGCCAUACUGAUGAGAGACAAACCAGCAUUGAAUUAGUAGUGAUGGCUGAUGGCUU